UGCAUCAUGAUUUACAUUUGAGUGAGUGGCGAACUGGUGAGUAACACGUGGGAAACCUGCCCAGAAGCGGGGGAUAACACCUGGAAACAGAUGCUAAUACCGCAUAACAACUUGGACCGCAUGGUCCGAGCUUGAAAGAUGGCUUCGGCUAUCACUUUUGGAUGGUCCCGCGGCGUAUUAGCUAGAUGGUGGGGUAACGGCUCACCAUGGCAAUGAUACGUAGCCGACCUGAGAGGGUAAUCGGCCACAUUGGGACUGAGACACGGCCCAAACUCCUACGGGAGGCAGCAGUAGGGAAUCUUCCACAAUGGACGAAAGUCUGAUGGAGCAACGCCGCGUGAGUGAAGAAGGGUUUCGGCUCGUAAAACUCUGUUGUUAAAGAAGAACAUAUCUGAGAGUAACUGUUCAGGUAUUGAC
rnacentral:rRNA from 1 species